ACUGGGCAUAUUUUGGCCUUCCUUUCCCAGAGACACUUCUUCAUCCACUAUUCAUCCUCUCGUCAUAGCACCGCAGCAGUACACGAUGAUCAGUCAUUGCAAUGUAACAUAUGCCAACUCCAAAGGAAGUCGAGCCAACAGCACUCAAAAUAACUGUAGGAAUUGGACUGCAGAAAGGAAACUAUGCAUUUGAAUCAGUUCAGCUCCUGAAAAAUCUGUGUCCAUUUGGAGCACUGCCCUGUUCCAUGCAAAGGAUGUGA
rnacentral:lncRNA from 1 species